GGAUUAGAUACCCUGGUAGUCCACGCCGUAAACGAUGGAUACUAGAUGUCGGACGUUCUUACCCGUUCGGUGUCGCAGCUAACGCAUUAAGUAUCCCGCCUGGGGACUACGGUCGCAAGACUAAAACUCAAAGAAAUUGACGGGGACCCGCACAAGCGGUGGAGUAUGUUGUUUAGUUCGAUGCAACGCGAAAAACCUUACCUGGGUUUGACAUCCUGUGCUACCCUGUGAAAGCAGGGGUUCUCUUCGGAGACGCGGUGACAGGUGCUGCAUGGCUGUCGUCAGCUCGUGCUG
rnacentral:rRNA from 1 species